rnacentral:rRNA from 1 species
UACCAGCACCCCGAGUGGUCGGGACGUUUAUUGGGCCUAAAGCAUCCGUAGCCGGUUCUACAAGUCUUCCGUUAAAUCCAUCUGCUUAACGGAUGGGCUGCGGAAGAUACUAUAGAGCUAGGAGGCGGGAGAGGCAAGCGGUACUCGAUGGGUAGGGGUAAAAUCCGUUGAUCCAUUGAAGACCACCAGUGGCGAAGGCGGCUUGCCAGAACGCGCUCGACGGUGAGGGAUGAAAGCUGGGGGAGCAAACCGG